GAUGAACGCUGGCGGCGUGCCUAAUACAUGCAAGUCGAGCGAACGGACGAGAAGCUUGCUUCUCUGAUGUUAGCGGCGGACGGGUGAGUAACACGUGGAUAACCUACCUAUAAGACUGGGAUAACUUCGGGAAACCGGAGCUAAUACCGGAUGAUAUUUUGAACCGCAUGGUUCAAAAGUGAAAGACGGUCUUGCUGUCACUUAUAGAUGGAUCCGCGCUGCAUUAGCUAGUUGGUAAGGUAACGGCUUACCAAGGCAACGAUGCAUAGCCGACGUGAGAGGGUGAUCGGCCACACUGGAACUGAGACACGGUCCAGACUCCUACGGGAGGCAGCAGUAGGGAAUCUUCCGCAAUGGGCGAAAGCCUGACGGAGCAACGCCGCGUGAGUGAUGAAGGUCUUCGGAUCGUAAAACUCUGUUAUUAGGGAAGAACAUAUGUGUAAGUAACUGUGCACAUCUUGACGGUACCUAAUCAGAAAGCCACGGCUAACUACGUG
rnacentral:rRNA from 1 species